AACAAACGCUGGCGGCGUGCCUAAUACGUGCAAGUCGAACGGGGAAAGCUUUCGGGUGAGUACUAGUGGCGCACGGGUGAGUAACGCGUGGAUAAUCUGCCUUAGAGUGGGGGAUAACUAGUCGAAAGAUUAGCUAAUACCGCAUAAGACCACAAGAACUGCGGUUCAAGGGGUCAAAGGUUUUUCGCUCUAAGAUGAGUCCGCGUAAGAUUAGCUAGUUGGUAGGGUAACGGCCUACCAAGGCGACGAUCUUUAACUGGUCUGAGAGGAUGAUCAGUCGAACUGGAACUGAGACACGGUCCAGACUCCUACGGGAGGCAGCAGUAGGGAAUAUUGCACAAUGGAGGAAACUCUGAUGCAGCGACGCCGCGUGAGUGAUGAAGGCCUUCGGGUCGUAAAGCUCUGUCGCAGGGGAAUAACACAAUGAAGGUACCCUGUAAGAAAGGAUCGGCUAACUUCGUGCCAGCAGCCGCCGUAAUAC
rnacentral:rRNA from 1 species